rnacentral:rRNA from 1 species
CAACUGAAGAGUUUGAUCAUGGCUCAGAUUGAACGCUGGCGGCAGGCUUAACACAUGCAAGUCGAGCGGAAACGAUGAUAGCUUGCUAUCAGGCGUCGAGCGGCGGACGGGUGAGUAAUGCAUGGGAAUCUGCCCGAUAGAGGGGGAUAGCCCGGGGAAACCCGGAUUAAUACCGCAUACGCCCUAGGGGAAAGCAGGGGAUCUUCGGACCUUGCGCUAUUGGAGAAGCCUGCGUCGGAUUAGCUAGUUGGUGGGGUAAAGGCCCACCAAGGCGACGAUCCGUAGCUGGUCUGAGAGGAUGAUCAGCCACACUGGGACUGAGACACGGCCCAGACUCCUACGGGAGGCAGCAGUGGGGAAUAUUGGACAAUGGGCGAAAGCCUGAUCCAGCCAUGCCGCGUGUGUGAAGAAGGCCUUAGGGUUGUAAAGCACUUUCAGUAGGGAGGAAAAGUUAGUCGUUAAUAACGGCUAACCCUGACGUUACCUACAGAAGAAGCACCGGAAAUUCCACUGCCAGCAGCCGCGGUAAUACGGAGGGUGCGAGCGUUAAUCGGAAUUACUGGGCGUACAGCGCGCGUAGGCGGCCUGAUAAGUUAGAUGUGAAAGCCCCGGGCUCAACCUGGGAACUGCAUUUCGAAUUGGCAGGCUAGAGUCUGGUAGAGGAUAGUGGAAUUUCAGGUGUAGCGGUGAAAUGCGUAGAGAUCUGAAGGAACACCAUUGGCGAAGGCGACUUACUGGACCAAUACUGACACUGAGGUGCGAAAGCGUGGGGAGCAAACGGGAUUAGAUACCCUGGUAGUCCACGCCGUAAACGAUGUCUACUAGCCGUUGGGAGACUUGAUCUCUUAGUGGCGCAGCUAACGCAAUAAGUAGACCGCCUGGGGAGUACGGCCGCAAGGUUAAAACUCAAAUGAAUUGACGGGGGCCCGCACAAGCGGUGGAGCAUGUGGUUUAAUUCGAUGCAACGCGAAGAACCUUACCUGGUCUUGACAUCCUACGAACUAUCUCUAGUUAGUUUGGUGCCUUCGGGAACGUUGUGACAGGUGCUGCAUGGCUGUCGUCAGCUCGUGUUGUCGUGAGAUGUUGGGUUAAGUCCCGUAACGAGCCAACCCUUAUCCUUAUUUGCCAGCACGUAAUGGUGGGAACUCUAAGGAGACUGCCGGUGACAAACCGGAGGAAGGAGAGGAUGACGUCAAGUCAUCAUGGCCCUUACGUCCAGGGCUACACACGUGCUACAAUGGUCGGUACAAUGGGCUGCAAUACAGUGAUGUGGAGCGAAUCCCAAAAAGCCGGCCUCAGUUCGGAUCGAAGUCUGCAACUCGACUUCGUGAAGUUGGAAUCGCUAGUAAUCGCGUAUCAGAACGACGCGGUGAAUACGUUCCCGGGCCUUGUACACACCGCCCGUCACACCAUGGGAGUUGAUUGCACCAGAAGUGGUUAGCCUAACUUAGUGAGGGCGAUCACCACGGUGUGGUUGAUGACUGGGGUGAAGUCGUAACAAGGUAACCUAGCCAGGAUCAAACUCUAAUCACUAGUGC